rnacentral:rRNA from 1 species
AUUGAACGCUAGCGGGAUGCCUUAUACAUGCAAGUCGAACGCGUGGCGAACGGGUGGGUAAUGUAUCGGAACGUGCCCGGUAGCGGGGGAUAACUACGCGAAAGCGUAGCUAAUACCGCAUACUUUUAGAGCGGCCUCUGUCGGAUUAGCUAGUUGGUGGGGUAACGGCUCACCUAGGCGACGAUCCCUAGCUGGUCUGAGAGGAUGACCAGCCACACUGGAACUGAGACACGGUCCAGACGCCUACGGGAGGCAGCAGUUGGGAAUAUUGCACAAUGGGCGCAAGCCUGAUGCAGCCAUGCCGCGUGUAUGAAGAAGGCCUUCGGGUUGUAAAGUACUUUCAGCGAGGAGGCGUUACUCGCAGAAGAAGCACCGGCUAACUCCGUGCCAGCAGCCGCGGUAAUAC